rnacentral:rRNA from 1 species
AUACGGAGGGUGCAAGCGUUAAUCGGAAUUACUGGGCGUAAAGCGUACGUAGGCGGUUCGUUAAGUUAGAUGUGAAAGCCCCGGGCUUAACCUGGGAACUGCAUUUAAAACUGGCGGACUAGAGUUGAGUAGAGGGGAGUGGAAUUUCAGGUGUAGCGGUGAAAUGCGUAGAGAUCUGAAGGAACACCAGUGGCGAAGGCGACUCCCUGAACUCGAACUGACGCUGAGGUACGAAAGCGUGGGUAGCAAACGGGAUUAGAUACCCCUGUAGUCC